rnacentral:rRNA from 1 species
CCUACGGGGUGCAGCAGUGGGGAAUAUUGGACAAUGGGGGGAACCCUGAUCCAGCGACGCCGCGUGAGUGAAGCAGUAUUUCGGUAUGUAAAGCUCUAUCAGCAGGGAAGAAAGAAAUGACGGUACCUGACUAAGAAGCCCCGGCUAACUACGUGCCAGCAGCCGCGGUAAUACGUAGGGGGCAAGCGUUAUCCGGAUUUACUGGGUGUAAAGGGGGCGUAGACGGCGAUGCAAGUCUGACGUGAAAGGCGGGGGCCCAACCUCCGGACUGCUUUGGAACCUGUAUGGCUGGAGUGCAGGAUAGGGAAGUGGAAUUCCUAGUGUGGCGGUGGAAUGCGUAGAUAUUAGGAGGGACACCAGUGGCGAAGGCGGCUUACUGGACUGUAACUGACGUUGAGGCUCGAAAGCGUGGGGAGCAAACAGGAUUAGAUACCCUUGUAGUC